rnacentral:lncRNA from 1 species
UUGUGGUGGCCGCCUCCAAUGCCAAGCCUAUGGUACACCCCCUAACACCUUGGCCGAAUUCGCACUUAACCAAUUCAACAACAUGGACUUCUUCGAUAUAUCUUUGGUUGAUGGAUUUAAUGUGCCCAUGGCUCUUAAUUCUACUUCCAAUGGGUGCACCCGUGGCAUCCAAUGCAGCGCCGACAUAGUCGGACAGUGCCCUGAUGAGCUCCGAGCUCCCGGUGGUUGCAACAAUCCAUGCACUGUUUUCAGGACCGAUGAAUAUUGUUGUUAUUCUGGGAACUGUGGCCCUACAACUUACUCCAAGUUUUUCAAGGAUAGGUGUCCGGUGGCUUAUAGCAACCCUAAUGAUGAUCAAACAAGCACCUUUACAUGCCCUGGUGGUACUAACUAUGAUGUUAUCUUCUGCCCAUGAUGCCUCUACUAGUCCUGUUAGACGAUUUGGUACCAUCUUGGGAUCCAAAUGUCUAGAAGAAUAAAUUUGAGCACAUGUCCAUGUCCAUAGUCAUGUAAUAAGAUUUCUACCAUCAUAGAAAUCGAAUGAUUUUCAGAGGGGUUAGAAGCUUUGAAUAAUGUUUAAAUGUGCUUUACUUAUAAAAGUUUAGAACUAAUUCUUCAUAAAAAUAAUUUUGUCCAAGUGUUAUUGUUUAAGAGUUUAUUUGAUAUUGAAUUAUGAAAGUAUUUUGAAUUAUUUUAACAUUUAAAAAAUAAUUUUUCUUUAAAUAUUAAAAAAUUUAAAAAUGCUUCUUAUAAUUAUUAUCAAAUAAACUCUAAAUACUAUAUAUUAAAAACAUAAUUACUAGAAUGACCUCUAAAUGAAUUCAUAUUUUAAGUACACCGAGAAUGAUAGAAUUCAGUAAUGGUGUUUUAAAUUAAAUUGGUAAAUAUUUUGGGAUUUUCCAUUUGAAUAAUUUUUAGAAGUGAAUAAAUUAUUUUUCAGCUCUAACAUAAACAAAUCCUGUUAUUGUGGUGUGGAAAAACCUUUGCUCAAGAGUCAAGAGCGGUGGUGGAGGCUUGAGUUACGUACCCAAGUUGAAUUUUUGUAAAAGGAUGUGGAGGAGUAGAGUACAAGGAAAAUUGAUUUGCGGACAAGACCAGUUAGUUAGUGAAGCUUGAUUAAAGUCGAAGUUUUGGUGUUUUCUCCCAAGACUUCCUUUGUAGUGGUCCAAAAAAUUGGUAAGGAAAUAUGACAGACAUCGAAAGAGGAUUUGGCUAAAAGUCAAUAACUAUUUGGAGCUAUGUUCCCUUCUCGGGGCGAUGGCGUUUGCUAGUAAUCUUUGACUCGCUCUUCCCCGUAGCUUCCAUAGCAGUCCAAACCGGUUGCUUGUUCAAGGAAAACACCGUAUAAAUAAGAGGGAAGUGGCUAAAAGUCUAACUAAUUAAAAUCGUAGUCAUUUAUUGUGUGGAAUAGCGGGACACAUACGUAUUGAAGUUGAACUUGUCCAUCAAUUAAAUCUAAUACAAUUUUCUUUUUCAAUCCAACUAUUACGUAAUAAAUUUUAAAUUUCAAAUAUAUUUGCUUUUAAAAUUUACUCAAACCAAUUUAAUAACUUACAAAUAACUAAUUCAAUAACUUGGACUUCUUUAAUAUAGUAUUGUCCAAGCAUAUAUUUGAUAUGUCUUUAAUUUAUUUUUAAUUGUGCUUCUAAGCUACGUUUGGUUCUCGAAAAAUUUGAGAGAAAAUUUAAAAGAAAAAAAUUACAGAUGAAAAAAAAUAAAAAAUAGUUUAAAUAUAAUAAAUUAUAUUUGAUUUGAUUUUCUAUUUUUUUUUAUAGUGAAACAAAAUAUGAGAAAACCAUUUUUAUUAAUAUUUUUUUUCUUUAGAACACUUUCCAACAUAACUUACCAUUUAUUUUUUUGGUCAUGCAAAAGUUGAUGUAAAAAAUAUAGUUAGUCUCUCUUAUAUCAUUCAUUUGAAAUUGAGUAGAUUAAUGGUGUUUGUUUUUUUGGUUUUUUACUUAAAGCAAUUUAGUUUUAGAAUUUAGGUUGUUUGUUUUUCUACUUUUUCAUGACUUAUUAUAAACUUUUUACUAAAUAGAAAAAGUCAAAAUAUGUAGCUUUUUCUAAGUAGGAAAAAUAACAUAUUGAUUUUUUUUACUUUUUAAUACUUAAUAGAAAUAAAAUACUACAAAAACAAAUAACCUAAUAUUUAACACUAUUAAGCAUUAAGGUUCUAUUUAGAAUUAAGUAAAAAAACAAACAUCAUCUUCACACUAAGUAAUAACCCUAUAUUAGUCCUAAUAAGUAAUAAAAUUCCUCUACUAAUACAUGGUAUGGAUAAAAUAUUUACUAAAUUAACAACAUGAAUGUAAGUAAUUUAGAUAUUAGUAGGAUAUAUUUUUGUCUUAAUUAUUUAAAAAUAUAAACAUAUUUAUAUUAGGUUCUUGCUUUUUAUAAAUAUUAAUUCAACAUUUUUAGUAAUUUUUUUUUUAAAUUUAAUAAUUACAUAACCAAAAGUAAAAAAAAAAAAAAAUCAUUUUAUGAUGAUUUUUUGUCAAUUUUCAAUGAUUUCUUUCUAGUUCUUUGUUUUCAGUAGGUUAUUGAGUUAAUAAAGAAAUAAUGAAAUAUAAUGUGAUUGGGUUUUGGGUAUUUUUUUUUUUUAUAAUUUGUUUAAAAAAAAUUAGAUAAUAAAAAUAUCAUAUAUAUAUAUUUUGUUAUAAAAUUUUUAAAAGGAAAAAAAUUGUUGCUAAAUAUGAUUUUCAAAAACAUUUAUCACAAUUUUAAUUCAAAAAAUUGAAAAAUAAAAGUGUAAUGGAAGAUACUACUAAUGUAGUACAAGCAAUAAAUAUUUUUACCCUUAGUUGUGAAAAAUAUAGAGGAAAGAAAUUUUAUGAUGUCUGUUUCUAGAAGGUUGUAGGAAACCUGUUUGCCACGCCAGCCUAUUAAUAUUUUCUUCUUCGAAAAUUAAGAAAUUAUGGCAUUUUUUUAAAAAAAAAUUAUGCUUAAAAAUAGUUUUUUAUUUAGAAUAUAAAACUUAAAUUUAAAGAAAUUGAGAAUAUAUUCUAAAACUGAAUUAUCUUUUAGAAUAAAUUUAAGGGUUUUUUUUUAUUAUGUUCUAUUAAAUAAUAAUUAUUAAAAAUAUGAAAAUUAUUUUUUUUUAAAAAUAUAUUAUAUAUGUGUAUGUCAACUUUAAGAAAAAUAAAUAAAUAAAUAAAUAUAUAUAUAUAUAUAUAUAUAUAUAUUUUAUGUCUGAGAUUUUAAACAAAAUUUUAUUUAUAAAAAUAAUUAAAAAUUAUGUUUUGCCUAACAUGCCUAUGUUCUAGUCGUCUACGGAGUUGGUUCGGGAUGGCAGUGGAAAAUAUACUUUAGAUAUUUUCUCUUCUCUAUAGUCAGAUGCUUCUGCGUAUUUUAAAUGGUAAAGACCAAAACUCAAUUAUGAUAUUAUCGAAAAUAGACCCAGUCCAAAGUGGUCAUUCAUACUGGCAUAGUUCCAGGAAGGUGAUCAACAUCAGGGCUGUCUCAUUCAAGAAAGGAAAUUUGCACCCACGUUUUCUAGAUACAUUCCUACUGUUCUGAUGAUUCGGUAUGCACGAAUUUAUGCAAAGGUUAGGCAGAUUUCUGAAAAUAAUAAAAAUGGUAAUGAAGUGGACCCUUCUCUCUGUAAAAUAUUUUAAAUAAAAAAUACUUAUUUUUCUAAAAAUAAGUAUUUUCAAUAUGUAAUAUAUGUUUUAAAAAAAAAAAUUAAUUUACAAGCUUAUUUAUUUUUAUUUCUUAAAAAUAUUAUCGGCUUUUGUUGAUAAGAUUUGAGGAAAGAAAAAGGGCCACCUCACAUCGACUCUUCCAUGCCCGCAGGCCCCAACGAAGUCGACCACAAAGAUGACGCUAUCUUUUGGAAUUUUUACAGGGAGGUUUUUUCACAUACACACCAACCCAAGCCCACCUUCACCCUAUAAAAACCCCCACCCGGUUCCUCACAGAUCACCCCACUCCAACCAUCAAGCCUAUAUAUCUUCCGAAACUCAACAAUGGGCCUCUGCAAAAUCCUCUCCAUUUCCUCAUUCCUUCUCACCACCCUAUUCUUCACCUCCAGCUAUGCAGCUACGUUCAACAUCCAAAACCAUUGCUCCUACACGGUUUGGGCUGCGGCAGUCCCAGGCGGGGGCAUGCAGCUUGGCUCAGGCCAAUCCUGGAGCCUCAAUGUGAAUGCCGGCACCACUGGAGGCCGUGUUUGGGCCCGUACCAACUGCAACUUCGAUGCGUCAGGGAAUGGGAAGUGUGAGACCGGGGACUGUGGUGGCCUCCUCCAAUGCACGGCCUAUGGUACACCCCCUAACACCUUAGCCGAAUUCGCACUUAACCAAUACAGCAACUUGGACUUCUUUGAUAUAUCUUUGGUUGAUGGAUUUAAUGUUGCUAUGGCCUUUAAUCCUACUUCCAAUGGGUGCACCCGUGGCAUCAGUUGCACCGCCGACAUCGUGGGAGAGUGCCCCGCUGCGCUAAAGACUACCGGUGGUUGCAACAACCCAUGCACCGUUUUCAAGACCGAUGAAUAUUGUUGCAAUUCUGGGAGCUGUAAUGCUACAACUUACUCCGAGUUUUUCAAGACUAGGUGCCCUGAUGCUUAUAGCUACCCUAAGGACGAUCAGACAAGCACCUUCACAUGCCCUUCCGGGACCAAUUAUGAAGUUAUCUUCUGCCCAUAAAUCUAUUAUUUAAAUCAUAUGCUAGUAUGCCUCUACUGGUCUCAACUAUUAGGAGGCAAUGGUAUCCACCUUGGGUUCCAAAAGCCUAGAGGAAUAAAGUUGAGCCCAUAUUCGUGGUCAUGUAUUAAGAUUUCUACACUAGUCGAAGCAAUGGAUGCCUUUUUUUAUAUAGAUAUAUGCUAUCUUCUUCUUCUAAUCUCUGUGGUCCCUUCCAAGUAACAUUUCAUAUAGAUAUAUGAAUUUUAAUGAUUAUUCUUCUUCAGAAUUCUUUUUUUUUUUUUUUUUGAAAAUGAAAUUAAGCUUAACAUGAACAAAAUUCUGCUAUCAUGGUACGGAGAAAUCUUUGCUUGAGAGCGGUGGUUGAGGAUUGAGUCACCUACCCAAGUCAAAUUUUUGUAACAAUUAGAUGUUCAUCUUUAGAGUACUACAAGGAAAAUUGAUGUGAGGAUAAAGACCAGUUAACGAAGCUUGACUGACGUCAAAAUUUUAUUUUAUUUCCUUUUCUCUAAUCCUACCUUGUAGCGGUCCAAAUUAAUUGUCUUGACAAGGAAAUAUAACACAUAGCCAAGGAGGAUUUGCCUAAAAGCCAUCAUCCUGUUUGAAAACUACCUCCCUUAUUGUGCACAUGACACUUUUUCUAAGGGGAAUAAUCCAACCAUACAUUGGACCAAUAAAAUAAGUAUUUUUGGGAUUUUAUUUUUACCUUCACAAAUUGAGUGCGUAAAGUGCGGGGGAAAAAAACUCAUUCAUGCAUUUCAAUAACACUUGUGAAUUUAUUCCAAAAUUACAUUCAAAGUACACCUAUCAUUUUUUUUUACAUCAACUCUCUCACACCUCCAUUUCACCCGCCAUGUUCAUACGGUUUUUUUAUCUCUCACCAACAUAUUCAUAGUCUCAUGUAUUUUCUUAUAAAACAUCUUUAAUUUCAAUUUUUUUUUCACUCUCUAAUCUCUCCAUAUUUAUUGAUUUUAAUCAUUUUUUAGACACAUUAAACUUAAAAUGAUAAUAUAUAAUAAAUAAUUAAUAAUAAAAAAUUAAAUAAAAACAUAAUAUUUAAUGAACAAAAAUUAAAAUAUUAUCUCACAAAUAAUAUACUUGAUAAUUUUAAAUAUUAAUUAUAAUAAUGUUUAAGAUUUAAAUUUAAAAAUUAUGUUUUUAUUAUUUAGAGGCUUAUGAUAUAAUUUUUUUUAUAUUAAUACUAAAUAAAAGAUUUAUUGAUUUUGUAAAUCUUAUCAUACGUAAAAGUAAAAAAUAUCUUUGUAAUAUUAUUUUAUUAUUUUUAUUUUGAUAUAAAAUUUUUCAUUUGUAAUAUUAUUUUAUUAUUUUUAUUUUGAUAUAAAAUUUUUCAUAUCAAAAUCACAAUAAGUGAUAGUAGUUUUUUUUUUGUUAUGGUUUUAAUUGUGGUUUUAACUUUUUACUUGGUUAAAUUUUUUAAUUUUUUAUCAAGAUAAAAUAUAAAAGAAAAUAUGUUUUUUCAUAAAAAAAAAAUACAUUGUUUUAGGGAAAUUGAGAUACUUAUCUCUUUUAUCAUGAUGCAUAUACUCCUUUUGGAAUUCUCGGGAAGUGUUUUUAAAUUCUCUCCCACCUCGAAAAAGACUUUGAAACUUCAAGUAAGAAAAAUAAAUACAUCCUUUAAGAAAAAUGGAUUUUCUUUGAAUUGGUUGCCUCACAAUAUUUUAAAUGAUAAAGACUAAAAUUCAAUUAUGAUAUUAUCGAAAAUAGUCCCAAUCUAACGACUAGUCAAGAUAUUUGAAGUGGCCAAUCGUAUUGGAAGAAUUCCAGGAAGGUGCUCAACAGGGUUGUCUCAUUCAAAUAAGGAAAUUUGAAAUAAAUUUUCUCAAUACCAUGCACCCACGUUUUCUAGAUACAUUCCUACUGUUCUCAGAAUUGAGUGCUCAUGAAUUUACAUAGAAGUUAGGCAGAUUUCUGGAAAUAAUAAAAAUGAUAAUCACGUAGAACCUUGUCUCUGUAAAUUAUUUUAAAUAAAAAAUACUUAUUUUUCUAAAAAUAAGUAUUUUCAAAAUGUAAUAUAUGUUUUUUUUUUUUUUAAAUAAUAAUAAUUUACAAGCUUUUUUAUUUUUAUUUCUUAAAAAAAUUAUGGGCUUUUGUUGAUAAGAUUUGAGGAAAAACAAAAAGGGCCACACUACAUUGACUCUUCCAUGCCUACAGGCCACAACGAAGUCGACCACAAAGAUGACGCCAUCUUUUGGAAUUUUUACAGGACGGUUUUUCCACAUACACACCAACCCAAGCCCACCUUCACCCUAUAUAAACCCCCACCCAUUUCCUCACAGAUCACCCCACUCCAACCAUCAAGCCUAUCUUCCGAUCCUCAACAAUGGGCCUCUGCAAAAUCCUCUCCAUUUCCUCAUUCCUUCUCACCGCCCUAUUCUUCACCCCCAGCUAUGCAGCCACCUUCAACAUCCAAAACCAUUGCUCCUACACGGUUUGGGCUGCGGCAGUCCCAGGCGGGGGCAUGCAGCUUGGCUCAGGCCAAUCCUGGAGCCUCAAUGUGAAUGCCGGCACCACUGGAGGCCGUGUUUGGGCCCGUACCAACUGCAACUUCGAUGCAUCAGGGAAUGGGAAGUGUGAGACCGGGGACUGUGGUGGCCUCCUCCAAUGCACGGCCUAUGGUACACCCCCUAACACCUUAGCCGAAUUCGCACUUAACCAAUUCAGCAACUUGGACUUCUUUGAUAUAUCUUUGGUUGAUGGAUUUAAUGUGCCUAUGGCCUUUAAUCCUACUUCCAAUGGGUGCACCCGUGGCAUCAGUUGCACCGCCGACAUCGUGGGAGAGUGCCCCGCUGCGCUAAAGACUACCGGUGGUUGCAACAACCCAUGCACCGUUUUCAAGACCGAUGAAUAUUGUUGCAAUUCUGGGAGCUGUAGUGCUACAGAUUACUCAAGGUUUUUCAAGACUAGGUGCCCUGAUGCUUAUAGCUACCCUAAGGACGAUCAGACAAGCACCUUCACAUGCACUGCCGGUACCAAUUAUGAAGUUGUCUUCUGCCCAUAAAUCUAUUAUUUAAAUCAUAUGCUAGUAUGCCUCUACUAGUCUCAACUAUUAGGAGGCAAUGGUUUCCACCUUGGGUUCCAAAAGCCUAGAGGAAUAAAGUUGGGCACAUUUUCGUGGUCAUGUAACAAGAUUUCUACACUAGUAGAAGUAAUGGAUGUUUUUUUUUUUUAUAUAUAUAUAUAUAUAUAUAGAUUUAUGCGAUCUUCUUUCUUUCUAACCUCUAUGGUCCCGUCCAAGUAAUAUUUCAUAUAUAUUUUAUUCUAUAUAAUAUCUGCGGAUAAGAUCGGUUAAUGAAGCUUGACUAAAGUCAAAAUUUUAUUUUAUUUCAUUAUCCUACUUGGAAACUACCUUCCUUACUGGGUACAUGGCAUUUUUUUUUUAAUAAUAUUUGACUCAGGUUUCCGAGAAAACAUUGUAGCAGUCCAAACACGGCGUAAAUUGGGACUUUUCUCAAUAGUAGAGUAAUUUAAAAAAGUUAUUCUUCAAUUACUGUAGUGGAAGAAGUUAUUACAAAUAUAGGGUAGUUUUUGCCAGAUAGGAGAGAGGAGAGAGGAGAGAGGGUGAGAGAGAGGAGAGAGGAAAGAGGAGAUAGGAGAGAGGAGAGAGGAGAGAGGGUGAACGGGUAAAAUUUUUUAAAAAAGGGAACUCGUCUCUUGAAGAGACGAGUUCCAUGAAAAAAAAUAUAUAUAUAAUUUUUAAAAAAUUCUCAAAUUAAAAAAAAAAAAAUUGGAACUAAAGGCUUGACACGAGUUCCCAUGGGAAAAAUAUAUAUUAUUUAUUUAAAAUAUAUUUUUCAUUUAAAAAAAAUCCCAAAAAAAAUAAAAAAUAAAAUUUCUAAAAGGAACUCGUCUCUUUUUUAAAAAAAAUAUAUUUUUUAUUUUAAAAUCCCAAAUUUAAAAAAAAAAAACGCAAUUCCAAAAGGAACUCGUCUCUUUAAAAAUAUAUAUAUUUAAAAAAAAAAAUUCCUAAAGGGAACUCGUCUCUUGAAGAGACGAGUUCCCUUUAGGAAAAAAAAUAUUUUGUUUUUAAAAUAUAUUUUUUAUUUUAAAAAAUCCCAAAUAAAAAAAAAUAAAAAAUAAAAAACAAUUCCAAAGGGAACUCGUCUCUUCAAGAGACGAGUUCCCAUGUAAAAAAAAAUAUUUUUUUAAAAAAUAUAUAUAUUUAAAAAAAAAAAUUCAGAGUUACUUUAGGAAAAAAAAUAUUUUUUUUUUAAAAUAUAUUUUUUAUUUUAAAAAAUCCCAAAUUUAAAAAAAAAAAAACACAAUUCCAAAGGGAACUCGUCUCUUCAAGAGACGAGUUCCCAUGUAAAAAAAAUAUUUUUUUUAAAUAUAUAUAUUAAAAAAAAAAAAACAAUUCCUCAAAAUUCCUAAAGGAACUCGUCUNNNNNNNNNNNNNNNNNNNNNNNNNNNNNNNNNNNNNNNNNNNNNNNNNNNNNNNNNNNNNNNNNNNNNNNNNNNNNNNNNNNNNNNNNNNNNNNNNNNNAAAGGAACUCGUCUUUUGGAAGAGAACGAGUUCCCAUGUAAAAAAAAAAAAAAAUUUUAAAAAAAAUAUAUAUUUAAAAAAAUAAAAAUUCAGGGUUCCCUUUAGGAAAAAAAAUAAUUUUUUUUUAAAAAAAAUAUUUUUUUUUUUAAAAAAUCCCCAAUUAAAAAAAAAAAAAAAAAAAAAAAACCCAAUUCCAAAGGGAACUCGUCUCUUCAAGAGACGAGUUCCCUUGUAAAAAAAAUUAUUAUUUUUAAAUAUAUAUAUAUUAAAAAAAAAAAAAAAAAAAAACAAUUCCUCAAAAUUCCUAAAGGAACUCGUCUCUUCAAGAGACGAGUUCCCAUAUAAAAAAAAAAAUUAAAAAAAAAUAUAUAUUUAAAAAAAUAAAAAUUCAGAGUUCCCUUAGGAAAAAUAAUAAUUUUUUAAAAAAAUAUAUUUUUUAUUUUAAAAAAUCCCAAAUUAAAAAAAAAAAAAAAAAAAAAAAACACAAUUCCAAAGGGAACUCGUCUCUUAUUUUUUUUUUUUCCAUAGGAACUCGUCUCUUCAAUAGACGAGUUCCCUUGAUGAAUUGUUUUUUUUUUUUUUUUUUUUAAAUAUAUUUUUUUAAAAAAAAUUUGUUUUUACGUGGGAACUCAUCUUAAAGAGACGAGUUCCCUUGAGGAAUUGUUUUUUUAUUUUAUUUUAUAUUUUAUUUUAAUAUAUAUAUUUUAAAAUAAAAAAUAUUUUUAAGAGACGAGUUCCUUUGGAAUUGUGUUUUUUUUUUUUUUUUUUAAUUUGGGAUUUUUUAAAUUUUUUAAAAAAAUAAUUUUUUUUCCUAAAGGGAAUUCUGAAUUUUUAAUUUUUUAAAUAUAUAUAUUUAAAAAUUUUUUUUUUUUUAAAAAACAAAAAUUUUUUUUAAAAAAUAUAUAUAUUUAAAAAAAAAUUAUAUUUUUUNNNNNNNNNNNNNNNNNNNNNNNNNNNNNNNNNNNNNNNNNNNNNNNNNNNNNNNNNNNNNNNNNNNNNNNNNNNNNNNNNNNNNNNCGUCUCUUCAAGAGACGAGUUCCCUUUGGAAUUGUGUUUUUUUUUUUUUUUUUUCUUUUUUUUAAUUUGGGAUUUUUUAAAAUAAAAAAUAUUUUUUUUUUCCUAAAGGGAACUCUGAAUUUUUUUUUUAAAUAUAUAUAUAUUUUUUAAAAAAAUAUUUUUAAAAAAAAAAUAUUUUUUUUUGUUUUUUUUUUUUUAAUUUGGGAUUUUUUAAAAUAAAAAAUAUAUUUUAAAAAAAAAAUAUUUUUUUUCCUAAAGGGAACUCGUCUCUUCAAAAAACAAGUUACCUUUAGGAAUUUUUUUUUUAAAUAUAUAUAUUUUAAAAAAAAAAUAUUUUUUUUACAUGGGAACUCGUCUCUUCAAAAGACGAGUUCCUUUUGGAAUUGUGUUUUUUUUUUUUUUUUUUUUAAUUUAGGAUUUUUUAAAAUAAAAAAUAUAUUUUUAAAAAAAAUUAUUUUUUUUCCCAAGGAACUCGUCUCUUGAAGAGACGAGUUCCCUUUAGAAAUUUUUUUUUUUUUUUUUUGGAUUUUUUUAAAUAAAAAAUAUAUUUUAAAUAAAUAAUAUAUUUUUUUUCCCAGGGAACUCGUCUGAAGCCUUUAGUUCCAAAUUUUUUUUUUUAAUUUGAGAAUUUUUUAAAAAUUAUAUAUAUAUAUUUUUUCAUGGAACUCGUCUCUUCAAGAGACGAGUUCCCUUUUUUAAAAAAUUUUACCCGUUCAUCCUCUCUCCUCUCUCCUAUCUCCUCUUUCCUCUCUCCUCUCUCCUCUCUCUCACCCUCUCUCCUCUCUCCUCUCUCCUCUCUCCUAUGUGGCAAAAACUACCCUAUAUUUGUAAUAACUUCUUCCACUACAGUAAUUGAAGAAUAACUUUUUUAAAUUACUCUACUAUUGAGAAAAGUCCGCGUAAAUUGUCAUAGCCCUUUAUUGCAGAGAAUAGUGGAAAAGAAAGUUGUUAAAAGUGGCAUAAGUAAUUCAAACCAUAACCCUAUAUUGAGGAGAGUUAUGACUUAUGACACAUAAAUAUUGAAGUUCCACUUGUCUAUCAAUUAAAUAAAUAUAUGUUUUAAUUUAUUUUUGUAAAAAAAAUCAAUAAGAUUUUUAAUAUUUAUUUUACUAAUUUUAUUUAAAGAACUUAUGAUUUAAAAACGAGUUUAAUAUGAUUUAGAUAAGAAAUAUUUUAAUAUUUAAUAUAAAUUUUAUAAUACUAAUAUUACCUAUUAAAAAUUAAGAUUUUGGUUGCACCAUCAACAUUUAGUUAAAUCUAAAAAUAAAAAACUAUUUCAAACAAAGCUUUAUUUAUUCAUCUAUCAUGCUAAUGGAGCCUCAGAAGUUAAAAAGAUUAACUGGGCCAUGGUUAUAGAAGCCCAAAAGAUUUAUUGAUGGGGCGGAGCAGGUGGGCCUGGCCUGCCAUGUGCAGCUGUAUUUUUUUGACUUGUCUUCAAGACAACAAGUCAACGCCUCCGUUCAAUGAAGCGGAUGUAUCGGAAAAACCCAAAAGCUUCAUUUUCCCCUCAAAACGCGUAAACCCCAAAAUGAGCUUCUUCUGCAACUGCAGCAACCUCUCUACUUCCUUCUGCCUCCUCAUCCUCCCGUUCUUCUUCACCUUCAUCCAUGCAACCACUUUCGAAAUCCAAAACAGCUGCCCCUACACCAUCUGGGCAGCCGCCGUACCCGGCGGCGGAAGGCAACUCGACCAAGGCCAGACCUGGAACCUUUCAGUGAGCUCCAACAUAACGGGCCGCAUCUGGGGCAGAACCAAGUGCAGCUUCGAUGAAGCCGGAAGGGGGAGCUGCGAGUCCGGUGGAUGUGGAGGCCUCCUUGAAUGCCAAGAAUAUGGUUCACCGCCCAACACCAUUGCCGAGUACACCCUAAACCAAUCCAACAAAACUGAUUUAUUCGAUGUUUCUCUGGUGGAUGGAUUCAACCUUCCAAUGGAGUUUAGCCCAACUUCUGAUGGGUGCAGAGGGGCCAAUUGUACAGGCGACAUUAACGGGCCGUGCCCAAAUGAGUUGAGGGACCCGGGUGGGUGUAACAACCCAUGUACCGUUUUCAAAAAUUCUCAGUACUGUUGCGAUUCCGGGAGCUGUGGCCCUACAACUUACUCCGAGUUUUUCAAGGAUAGGUGCCCAAAUGCAUACAGUUACCCUGAGGAUGAUUCAACCAGUUUGUUUACGUGCUCCACUGGCUCUAACUAUCGUGUAGUCUUCUGCCCUUGAAUUAUGGGUUGCUAUUAAUUGUUUGAAGUAUUUUCUGAAUUGCCGUGUAAUUUUAUGCUAUGAGGGUAUUUCUUCCUAAGUUUUGUUGGAUGAUCCGUUGAAAUAAAUACUCGAUAACUUCUGUAUUAUUUUAAAAAGUAAUGUAUCAAUAUGCCCAUUUUUAAAAGCUAUAGUGUUAUAAAUUUCAAACUCUUUAAAAUUUUGAGAGAUGAUACUAAGAACUAGCAUACUUUUGUAAAAGAAGUCAUAAAAGGAGAGUCAUCUAAAAAUUUUAAACUUUUAAAAUUUUUCACUAAAACCAAUGUCUCUCUCCGCUUGUUGACUCGUCUGGAAGUCAAGUCCAACGACCCCAUAGCCGUCAACCGAAACCGUUCAUGAAAAAUCUGAUCACCUUCCUCGCCAAAAUGCCAAAAUCCCAAGAUGACUUUCUUCAGCAGCUGCAACAACCUCUCCACUUCCUUCUUCCUCCUCAUCACCACUCUCUUCUUCACCUUCCUCCACGCUUCCGCGCUUCCACCUUCCACAUCCAAAACAACUGCCACUUCACCCUGUGGGCCGCGCACGGCCGUUCCCCGCGGCGGAACGCAACUCUGAUGGGUGGGCCAAAAAAUUCCCAAAUUAUUGGGAGUGGGCCUUUAUAAGUCCCAAAUUGCUAGGGGUGGGCCAAUGGGUAGUGAUGAUGUCAUAGUGCUCUAGCCCAAUUUUUUUUUAAAAUAAACAAAUAAAGGAUUGUAAUCAGUUUAAAAUGUUGAUAUACGGACAAAAAUUGAACAUUCAGACUAAUAAAAGUUAAUAAAUCCCAUACCAAUUGUUACUAAAUUUAAAAUCUAUUUAUCUAAUGAAAAAAUUUAGAGAAGUUAAAAAACUUUAACAAAAAUAGGUAUAAUUCCAAUAGAGAUUAUAUUUGACAAUUUUUCAUACUAGUUCAUGGACAGAUAAUGAAAGAAAAGUUGAAUCAUAUUUUGUUUAAUUUACUCUUCUUUUUUUUUAAUAUUUUUAAAAUUAUAUAUAUUUUUCAUUUCUCCGUAUUUUCCCUUUUUUCUCUAAAAAAAUAUGUGAAUAUAACUUUGUUCAUUUACAAUUAAUAAUGUCUUUUUCCGCUAGUUUUCUCCAAGUGAACGAUAAAUGUACUUGCAACAAAGUGUGUUCAAAUUAUUUUUUCGGGUAUUUUUUUUGAAGCUUAAGUUCAUUUUUAGAAGAAAUAGAUAAUAGUUUUAUUAUAAUAGAGUUGUAAUGUUUUAUGUAUUUUUUUAAUACUUUAAACGUCUGUAAUUGACCUUGAAAAUAACAGUUUUUGAGCUUAUAGUAAGACGUUUAUACUUGUGGAGGCAUCCGAUCUAAUGAUUUGAAAUAUUUAUUAUUUGCGCAGUGAAUAAAGACGUUGAUAGGAUAUCCUUUUAUCAUUUUAAUAUUUCGACGGAGAGAGGCUUUUAUCCAGAUGGAUGUAGGACCCACAGACUUCUCAUUAAUUUUUGAUAAUUAUUUUAUAUUUUAUUUUAUUUUUAAAAAAUUGUUUUCAAAUGACAUCGUCAAAUAGGCUGUUCGUAAUCAUCACUUCCAAUGCAACAUCUUUCGUUGAAUGGAAACUCAGAAAAUCUAAAGUAUCAUCGUAAAAUUCAUGAGGAAUAUGCCAGAAGAUGACCGUUUCAAACCUUUUAUAAUAUUAUUAUAUUUUCUGUAUUUUCUUUCCGCAAAUUUUCCUGAACUAAACACGAGUGAUAAACUACACCUUGAUUUGCGGGGAAAAUCCAUUGGCUAGAGAUUGACUGAAAGCCAAAACUUAGGCUUCGUUGCAAGACAUUUUGGCAGCCAACGACUCAGGCAAACACCGUAAAAGUCUAAAGAGACGCUGUCCGCCCAAACAAUCCACAAAUCUCUUAUCUUUUUAUCAUCUAAUACUCGGAUUCUAGAAAAGUCUACUGUAUCUCUUAGGUUAUAUUUAGUUUCGAAAAAUACAAAAGAAAGAAAAAAAAUAUUAAAAAAAAUAAUUUUUUCAUAUUCGAUUGUCUUAUAAAUUAUUUUAAAAAAAAUUAAAUAUGAUUAAAAUUAAUUAAAAAUUUAUGGAUUUUAAAAUUAUUUAAUCUUUAUAUUGAUGAGUUAAAAUAAAUAAAAAUAAUUUUUCAUCUUUUAACUCUAUUUUUUAUUUUUCUUCAUUUUUUUCUUUUAUUUUUUUUCUUUUUUUUCUUUUUCUUUUUUAUAUAUAUUUUCCCUUAAAUUUUAUGAGAACCACAUAUAAUCUUAAAAUUUUAAUAAUUUUAAUUUAUCAUUCUAAUCAUUCUAGAAAAUUUCAUCAUUAAAAAAUGUAAGAAAAAAAAAUUAGGGUGAAUAAAUUAUUUUUAUAUAUUAUUUUAAACUUAUUUUAUUUAUUUUAAAUUUUAAUAUAAAAAUUGUAUGAGCUUGUAAUUAAAUUUAUUUUAUUAAUUUUUUUUUAUAAUAUAGUCAAACAUAUAUAAAAAAAAAUCAAUUUUAUUAACAAUUUUUUUCUUUUCUUCAUUGAUUUGCUCCUGACGCCAUUUCAUCUAGAAUGGCAUAGAUAAUUUAAAGCAACAGUCAAAGGUCAUCCAAAAAAUUGAACAUGAUAGGUUGUUCAAAUGCAAGUUUACCGGUUCCCCGGAUUCUUCUAAGUUCUGGCAGCUUGACUUCACUUCCGCAUUCUGCAUUGGAGAUGUCACAGAUGUAUGGCCAUGAUUAAUGCCGUUCUCUUCAGUCAUUCCUAUGUGUGUGGACGCGUGAUGAAUUGGAAUCUAAGCAGGAAAGAUGCACGCUCCAUUCAAGUCACGUUUUCUCGUGGGAGGAUUGUCUUGAUUUUAUUAUGCGUGUAUUCUCCUGACUCUACCAUGGCCACUUGGCUUGCCAAGUCUAGAGUAAAGCCAUGAGUGGACAAUUCCAUUUCUUUCUUCAUCUUUUUCCACGGAAUCAAGUCCAACAAAAUGCUGAAAUUUCUAUUCGAAUUAACCCACUUCUCACGUAAUCUCCCAAACCAUUGCCACCAUUCAUCUAUAAAAACCCUACCAUACAUGCAUCUCCAAAACAUCAAUUAACCCAAACCCAUGUUAGUGCUCUGUCUUGGCUUGCCCUGUUUAAGAACAUUCUCUUUUAUAUAUAUUGUUAUACAACUUUCUACGUGAUAUGUUCUCAUUGGUUUAAUGUAUUACUAAAAAAUGUUCUUCAGGAUUUUGGAUGAGGUUGUGUUUGCAUUAACAUGAUCACUUUCAAAUUAUUUUUUGUAGGCAUGGUUCGUGCAGCUAUCAAGUACAAAUAGUUUGUGUAACUGGAUGUUGAUCGUCAUCUUCAUUGUGGUUACUUUUAAUAUCACUUUGUCUAAAUUAUUCUAAGACUAAACAUGAAAGUUCAAUAUCAUUUUGUUUAAAAUAGUAUAAGAAGGAACAUUGAAUAUGCAAAACAUUCAUACGAAGGACAAUCCGAUAGAUGCCUUAAUAAAAUCAAUUAACACUGAUAAAUUCAAUUAGUGCAAAUCCUCUUUUGAUUUCACAAUAACAUAAGCAACAUAUGAUAGGGUAAAACUUAGAAAUAUGAUUUCAAGUGAAAUAAUAUUAACGUUAAAGUCAUCUCACAUAAGAAAAAAAAAGAAAAAAAAAAGAGCUUCUUUAUGCUAUCUGAGGGGCAUCCAUCCUUGAUAUUCUUCAUCCUAAAAAAAACUUUUAUUUUUUUGCAAGUUUUUAUGUUAUCUCCUCUAAAUCGUAAAAAGAGAGGUUACAAUUUUGUAUUUAUAUGAUGAAUAUUUUUUAGUUUUGUUCUUUGGGUUUCCUUCAUAAUUAAAAGGGUUUAAUAUGUAAGUAUUUUUAAUUAUUUUAUUUAUUCUAUUACAUUAUUAUUUUAUUAUUCUAUUUUUAAAUUAUGGGAGCAUCAUUUCAAAACACUACCUUUAAAAAAAUAAAUAAAAAUAUAGUUUUUUAUAUUUGAGAUUUUAAACAAAAUUUUAUUUAUAAAAAUAAUUAAAAUUACGUUUUGCCUAACAUGCGUACGUUGUAGUCAUCCGCGGAGUUGGUUCGAGAGGACAUUGGAAAAUCACACAAAGUGAUCAUGUGCCUUUAAUUGGAAAAUAAACAGUGGAUUUUCUCUUCUCUAGAAUUGGUUGCUUCUCAGAUAAAGGUCAAAAUUCAAUUAUGAUAUUAUGGAAAAUAGUCCCAGUCGAACCAAUUUUCAAGGCAUUUGAAGUGGCCAUUCAUUCAAGAAAGGAAGUUUGAAAUAAAUUUUUCCAACGCAACGCGGCACGCACCCGGCCAUGUUUUCAAGAUGCCUUCCUACCUGUCCUCAGAAUUCAGUAUUCAUGAAUUUCCAUAAAAGUUAGACAGGUUUCUGAAAAUAAUAAAAAUGAUAAUGAUGUGGACCCCUUGAAAUAAAUUCAGUAUUCAUGAAUGGGCAAUUCUGGUUCUUUCAUCAUCUUUUUAUCUGUAAUCAAUCAUCCAAUCAAGUCCAACAAAAUGCUGAAAUUUCCAUUCGAAUUAACCCACUUCUCACGUAAUCUCCCAAACCAUAGCCACCCUUCAUCUAUAAAAACCCCACCAUACAUCCAUCUCCAAGACACCGCAUUAGCCCAAACCCAUAAGAAUUCUAAAUACUUCGAUUCUGAUCAUCUGAUUCAUUCAACAUCAAAAUGCGCUUCACCACCACCCUCCCAAUUCUCUUCCCUCUCCUCCUCAGCCUCCUCUUUACCUCCACCCAUGCAGCCACCUUCGACAUCCUCAACAAAUGCACCUACACCGUCUGGGCAGCCGCCUCCCCCGGUGGUGGACGGAGACUUGACUCCGGCCAGUCCUGGACAAUCACCGUCAACCCCGGCACCACCAAUGCUCGCAUCUGGGGCCGAACCUCAUGCACCUUCGACGCCAAUGGGCGUGGCAAAUGCGAAACUGGUGACUGCAAUGGCCUCCUCGAAUGCCAGGGCUACGGUUCUCCCCCAAACACCCUCGCUGAAUUCGCUCUAAACCAGCCCAAUAACCUCGACUACAUCGACAUCUCCCUUGUCGAUGGCUUCAACAUCCCCAUGGACUUCAGCGGCUGCCGCGGCAUCCAGUGCUCCGUUGACAUCAAUGGGCAAUGCCCCAGUGAGUUGAAGGCCCCCGGUGGAUGCAACAACCCGUGUACAGUGUUCAAGACCAAUGAGUAUUGUUGCACUGAUGGACCUGGAAGCUGUGGUCCGACCACAUACUCCAAAUUCUUCAAGGACAGGUGCCCAGAUGCUUAUAGCUACCCUCAGGAUGACAAAACCAGCUUGUUCACCUGUCCUUCUGGUACCAACUACAAGGUCACGUUUUGCCCUUGAAAGUUGGAACUCAUUUUCCUUCACUUUCUUGGUGAAUGAAAAGAGUACAAGACACCCAGGAAAGUUUUAGUUUUCAGCGUAGAGAAGAAUAAAUUUGUGCACGUAAUGAUAGUAUUGUGCGCAUGUGAUGUGAUAAUCAGUCUGUAAUGUGAUUCCAGUGAAAAAUAAAUGAAGAAGCCUACUUACUCAUUUUCACCUUGGAUGAAACUUGUCAACCUAUUUAACUUCUUUAACAAAAACAUAGUUUUUGGGUUCAACCUCCAUAAUACAAAACCCUUCAUUAUUUUUUGGCCUCAUUCAUUUAUUUAUUUAUUUAUAAAAAUAACUCUUUCUUUUAAAACACACAUAUAAAUACUUGAAAUAGUUAAGGACAUUUAUGUUAAAAAUUGAUUACUCUUCAAACAAAAACAUGGAAGAGGUUAAAUUCAUAAAUAUGAAGACUAUUUCAUCCCUUUUAACUAAUUAAUUCUUAAAUGAAUUACAUAAUAUAUUACUUGUUUAAUAAUUUGAUAAUAUUUGAAUUUAUAUUUUUAAUACGAUUAUUAUUUGUAUCAGAUUUAGAUUAACUUAUAUAAUAGAAAGCUUAGGCUUUAACACUAUACUAAUAUAACCAUCUUACACAAAUUGCCACCCCAUUUGUUGUUGGGACUGGUUGGAGGAACACACCUAACCCAGCCCACCAAAUUUGCAACUGGAUGGCUUGAAAUUUAGGCCCAUGAUGUCGGCCCAAUUUAUAUUAAUGAGCCCAAACCCAUCAGCAUACACUUUAUGAAGGACAUGAAAUCCAAAUAGGCUGAUAUGAAACGAACCCCUAUAAAGAAAAAGCCAGCAAAUCCCAAACUGAAAUUCAGAAUUGAAUAUGUGAGAAUCUUUCAAUUUCCAACAACACCCGACAGCGGCCCAUACUGAUAUAGGCUGUCUUCAAGCAGAAUAUUUUUUUUUUUACUACUAGAUCUGAAACAAGUAGUGGAAGCCCGAACAGGCCCAAUAGAUUCCUUCGACACCCGACAAUAAUCUACGAAUCAAACAGGUUUCUAAUUUGAGUACAGAUCUAAUAAACUAAUUAAUAAUUCUUUUUUCUUUUCUGUAAAAUAAAAAAGGACUUUUGAGCUUGAAUUUUUUUUCAGAUUAAAUCUAAGCGGUCAAUAAUAUUUCAAAGAAAUGUUUUUUUUAAUAAUAAAGAUUAAUUUACUAGUUUAGGGAUAGUAAAUAAACUAUAUUUAUUGAAGCCCGAUCCAAGCUUCAGUGACAAGGGUGAUAAAACAAUACUUUUAUAAAUCUAGAGAGUAAUCAUGAAUACCUCUAAAAUCAUAAUAAAAUCAAUUUAAAAUUAUUAUUUAGAUUUUAUAUUUUAAAAAAGAGUUAAAUUUCUUAUAAAUUAAUAAAGCUUAGUUUCAAGGACAAGUGUUAGGAGACCAUGUGUGAUAAAAAUAAAAAUAAAAACCCCAAAUGGGAAUAAGAUUUUUAAUAUUUUUUAAAUGUUCUCAUAAAAUUAUUAUGAAAAUCGUAAUUAUUGGAUCUUUGAUAGUCGUAUUUGAGAGGCUAAAUUAAAUCUUUUAUAAUAUUCAAUUAUUAUUGUUUGAAUGAUUUAUCCAUUUUAUUUAAAAGUAGUAUAUUGUUACACCCUAAUAAUAAUUAUAAAAAUUAUUUAAUAUUUUUAAUAAUUAAGAAAUUAUUUUCAAUUUUAUAAUAAUUUGUGAAGUUUUAAUUGAAAAAAAACAUUUUUAAUUAGAUUUAUCCGAUUUGAAAGUAAAUUUUAAGAGAAUUUCUAAAUUUUGUAUUUGAAUCGGAAGUUAUUAAACUUCUCACCAAUUAACAUAAAUUUAAAAGUAAUUUUUUAACUAUCAUGUUUUAUAAAUCUUUGUGUAAAAGUUUUCCAAUCAAACUUUUUGACUUUAGACCUGCGUGGGAUUGAAAGAUGUCCCACACACACCACGCGGCAUCAAACUCCUUGAUAUUAAUCUUGAUCUUAUCCUCGCCAAAUAGGAGGCCAUGAUUCCAUAUUUCCAUUACACUCUGUCACGGACCACGGCCACCUUCCCAAAUCCCCAGAUCAACAAAAACCAGCACUCCAUGCCUCGGUACCUGGGCACAAAAAGUCAAAGUAGCCGCCUCCAUAAAAUAAGUGGGACACUGAUCGACACAUGGCAUCCUGGCCUGGACUGCAGAGCAGAGGAUCAUCCCCAAACUUUUAUCCUCACGAGGAGCCGCCUGUACUUUAAUGAGAAAAGUAGAGACGUGCCUUUAUUUGCACCAAGCCAAAACGCAGCGUUUCCUCUAUAUAAACCCCCUGGUGUCAUUGAUGAGGCACAAGCCAAAAUACACCACACCUGACAUCUAUACUCCGAUUGUCAGCUCCAAGCUUCCCAGUAUGAGCGACUUGCGCAUCCUCUUUAUCUUCUUCCUCUGCUUCAUCUCCUCCAUCCAUGCAGCCACCUUCCAAAUCACCAACCAGUGUUCUUACACCGUCUGGGCAGCUGCCUCUCCCGGUGGCGGCCGCCGCCUGGACCGCGGCCAAAGCUGGACCCUCAACGUGCCCGCUGGCACCAAAAUGGCCCGAAUCUGGGGUCGAACCAACUGCCACUUCGAUGCCAGUGGUCGUGGCCGGUGCGAUACCGGUGACUGUGGCGGCGUCCUGAACUGUCAAGGCUGGGGUUCUCCACCAAACACACUAGCAGAAUACGCCUUGAACCAGUUUGGUAACAAGGAUUUUUUCGAUAUAUCUCUCGUUGAUGGGUUCAACAUCCCUAUGGACUUCAGCCCCACCAGCCGCGGGUGCCGUGGAAUCAAGUGCACGGCGAAUAUCAACGGGCAAUGCCCGCAGGCGUUGAAAGCUCCGGGAGGGUGCAAUAACCCGUGUACCGUGUUCAAGACUCCGCAGUACUGCUGCAACAAUAUUAAAUGUGGACCGACAGAUUAUUCGAGAUUUUUCAAGACCAGGUGCCCAGAUGCGUACAGUUAUCCUCAGGAU